GGUUUAAAAGGAGUACAUCGAAACUGCUUAUUCUACACUCAGCUGUUCAGAAUCAGAAGGCAGGAAAGGACUGCUGAUGGCCUUAUGAAUAAUGUAUCCCUUUGUGUCCGGCAAGUAAGCAAAUGAGAAGGUACACAAAGGAUUUAAAACUUUGGAAGACUGUACCUCAAUCGAGGUUACGUAUAGUUUUCUUCUUUGUCUCAAAUAUUCUUUUACAUGUACGUACUGAUGUUCAUGUUUUAAAGAAAAUAAAAACAGCUUUCUCUUUUCCUUCCUUGAAAGGAAGCAUUUGAACUUGAAGGUUAAACUGGACAGCGCUGUGUGUGAACACCGCACGUGUUUGCUGGGGUCAGAGGUGUGGCCUGUCUGCUCUCCAUGUGAGGGCGGCCCCCAGUGACCAGCAGGGCGUCUGCAGGAAGGCUGGGUGCAGGACCUUCUGUCACCCAGACCACAUGUGCUUCUCUUAUCGCUGCUUUAACUUCAUUUCCCAAGGCUGAGGUCACUGCUUUCCAUGGGGACUGGUCAUUUCAUCUGGAAUAAUGGCUUGUUAAUGUGGAACUGGGGUUUUCUGCCACAAAAGUUAAUUUUUUGUAUGCUUUCAAAACCGCACUCUCCCUACCUAUUAGGAGGCUGGGCACAAAUGCUCUUUGUAACACAUCUUGAACGUGGGUGUGCAGAGAAUCCUGACCACUCAAUGCUGGUGCUCAUGUGCAGAGAAGCAGCAGAUCCCAACGACUGCCGAGCGUGCUCUGAAUCUGAAAAACAGUGAGAAGAUUUUCCUGCUCAAGAAAGGCAAUUUCACCUCCACUUGAAGGAACUGGAGUGCCUUACAGAGAACAUCUCAACAAGAGAACACGGAGUUCAGAGAAUUUCUGGAAUGUCGUAUCAAGGCUACAAAGAGAGACUGGAUUGGGCUGGACCUGUAACUGUAAGGAAGAGGAUGUGACUAGAAAGAUGAUGUCAUUUGCAGCUGCUUCCACUGUCUAGGGAGAUGUCCUGGGGUCAGCUCUUCCCUUGCAGGGACAGAGGGAGGGCUGUGGCUGCCUGCACUGCUUUGGAUCCCCGACAACUUCCCCUGGGUUCCCGGAGCGUGCACUGCGGCCUUAGCCAAUUUCCCCUGAGAUGGUGAGAGCAGGUGGAACCACAGGCACAUAUAUCCCUGAAGCUCACAGCUCCGCAAAGAGCCAAUGAGUGGAGCCCAGCGGUUCUCUGAAGCACACAACUUCAAUAAGCCACAUCCUCGAGGGGAAGAUAAAUUAAGGAUUCACAGAUACACAGUACUCUGUAUAACAUAGAUAAGCAUAUACACAAUGGAAUAUUACUCAUCCAUAAAAAGGAACGCAUUUGAGUCAGUUCUGAUGAGGUGGAUGAACCUAGAACCUAUUAUACAGAGUGAAGUGAGUCAGAAAGAGAAAGAUCAAUAUCGUAUUCUAACGCAUAUAUAUAGAAUCUAGAAAAAUGGUACUGAAGAAUUUACUUGCAGGAUAGCAGUGGAGAAACAGACAUAGAGAAUAAACUUACGAACAUGGGGAGAGGUGAGAAGAGGGUGAAAUGUAUGGAAAGAGUAACAUGGAAGCUUACAUUACCAUAUGUGAAAUAGACAGCCAAUAUAAAUUUGCUGUGUGGCUCAGGAAACUCAAACAGGGGCUCUGUAUCAACCUAGAGGGGUGGGAUGGGGUGGGAGAUGGGAGGGAGAUUCAAAAGGGAGGGGAUAUAUGUAUAUAUAUCACUGAUUCUUAUUGGGGUUUGACAGAAAACAACAAAAUUCUGUAAAGCAAUAAUCCUGCAAUUAAAAAUAAAUAAAUUAAAAAAAUUGUAAACAUAAAAAAACCAACAUAAAUAAGCAAAUAUAGCGUAGGGAACUAUAAUCAAUACCUUGUAAGAACCUAUAAUAGAAAACAAUCCAGGAAUAAGAAUAUGUAUACCUGGAUUACUGCUGUACACCUGAAACUAACAACAUUGUAAAUCAGCUAUACCUCAGUUAGGGAAAAGAAGUCCAAUUCGUCCUCCCCCUUGUUCACCUGAGGGACAGGUGACCACUGAACUUCUCUCCAGACGGGCCCCCUGGUGGGAUUAACCAGGCCUGGCCGAGCCCUGCCUGUGAUUACUGUUUACCUGGACUUCUGUGGUUCCCCUCGUGACAGCCCAUCUACAUAAUGAGAGGGGCCCCUCGCCAGGUCCAGUUUAGAUUCUGACUCAUGAUGUUUCACUGAGUCAAACUCCCACUGUGUCUGCUCCCGGCUGACCUCACCUUCGUGAUCACAAGAAUGCAAGUCAUUCCUGGUCUUUCCAGGCUCCCCUCUGGCCUUGCUC
rnacentral:lncRNA from 1 species